AUCGGUUUCCAUCUUACCGGGCAGCAUUAGAUUGGCUUUUUAAACAAGCAUCGUGAUUUCUAAUACUGUCAGGUAAAGAUGUCCUCCGUG
rnacentral:pre_miRNA from 1 species